ensembl:lncRNA
GUGUCAGCACAAGAUGACCCGGGACACAGUGCUGUGCAGAAGGGAGGGCAUUUGCUCCCAGCCCCAUCUCACUUCCUCCAAGCUCCUGGAACACAGCCCUCACCGGCCCACCCCAAGGGACAUCUUCCACCCAUCGCAGUCCCCCUCGGGUCCCACUCCCCAUUCCCAUGCACAUUCCCCCGAGGCAGGGAGAAGCAUCGGCUUUAUGUGAUUGUCUCCGAUGGAGGAGUCAGUACACAUCACAUGCUUGAUGUGUGCUGAGGAUUUGAAGGCCCCCUGGGCACACGCGUGAUAGGCCCAAGGACCUGGCAGCACUUCCGUGAGCUCCCUCCUGCACCAAAGGGCCAGACCCUGCCCAACUUCCUCUCUGUUCCACCUCAUUCAUCGGCACAGCCACCCCGUGCAGCAGGUGCCCUUAGUGUCUGGCUCUGCUGUGCACGUGGGGACAGCGAGCGCUUGGGGUUAAGAAAGUGCCCAAGUCACAGUGUUGGUAAGGGGCAGGGGCAGGAAUGUGGACCCAGAUCAUCAUAUUUUGGAUCAGGGAAUGGCAGGUGUGGGGCAGCUCAUGGCACAGGAAGGCAGGGCCCCCCUUCCCUGCAAGCCCCGCUGCUCACCGCCUCCAUGCUUGUCAGCUGCUCUGCCACCAGCCGGGGAGGGAAGUCCAAGAUAUUUGACUUCUCCUCCCUCAGCUGGUUUUCGGUGGUCACAGCCCAGGGUCCAGUGGACUCUAGUUCAGGAGCUGGCACUGGGGCUGAAGUUAAUGGUGCCCCUUCCUCCAGCCCUGUAGGGUCCGAUGCAGGUGAUGCUGGCUCCAGCUCUGCCAUGGGUGGUGGGGCUGGAGCUGAAGAUGGCUCUAGCCCAGGGGCUGGUUCUGGCUCUGGCUCUGGCUCUGGAUGUGGCAGGAGCUUUGGAGCUGGCUCUGCAGCAGGAUAAGGAGAAAGUUUCACCCACACACCUGACAGUUUCUGUGCCUUUCCAAAGACAGGAAGGACUCCACUGCCUUUAAGGGAACUCUAGCCCAUGAACCUCAACACAGACAGUCUUCCCAGACUCCAGUCCCCUCACCUUUCUGUUUAGCCUCAAUGGCCUUGAGGUGCUCCAGGUGGCCUGGCAGAAGGUAGGCAUGGCCCUCCACAUGUGAGCCAUCAAAGCUGACGUGCAGAGUGGCCAGCUGCAGGGUCCAGCAUGGAAACCGCAGGGGCUCCCUGCAAUCCUGCCCUUGGCCCAGCCAGGUUCCCAGCAGGAAAUAGCACUGCGGGGAGGCAGAUGGGCCAGAGAGUCAGUGGCCCGGCCUUUCCUUAAACACUGCCCGCCCAAGGCACUCUUGUUAGCAUCUGGGCCCCUGUGCCAUCCCCUCCCCCUCCAGAGGAGGGGCCCCAUCCCAGCCCUGAGCCCCCGGCUGGCUGACCUGGCAGUGGCAGGCCUGCUCACCUAGCAGGCUGAACACAGAGUCUGUGAGAGUCUCUUGUUCCCACCGACACUCUCCUCCCCAAGGGUCUGGACACAGCCCACCCAAGCCCUCCAUGUAUGUGAGUCACUGGAAUGAAGACUCCAGCAGAUCUGUGAGCAGCUUGCUCACGCACCUCCUACUAUGGACCUGCUGGUGGCGCUCACAAGUGGUGGAUGUGGAGAAAGGGAGGCACAAGGAGCUGGGACUCUGCUGGGAUUGGGUCUCUAGGAAGCAACUCAGCCCAGCCUCCCAACCGGUUCUCAGGGGGCCUGGGACCCAUAGAUAGCUCUCUUUGAGUCCAGUCCUGCUGGAGUGGAAGCCACCAGAACUCAGCCUUCCCAUGGGAAUCACAAGAUGGGUGAGAUGCAGGGGUCUCCCAGGCCUGACCCGGCCACAACCUCCAUCCUCUCCCCUCACCCUAUUUGCUAGAGACAGGAGGCCCUCCGUCUGCACUCAAAGACCGCUCACUUUGGGAGGUGGUGCUGUCCUCCAGCAUCCUGCACACAAUGGGCCAAGCUGCUCCAUGUGUCCCAAAGGGGAUGAGGGCAUCGGCCGGGAUGGAGGGUAGA